UAUCACUGACAUACCAGCUGGUAAUAACUUAACACUGUAUGCAUGUGAAUCACUGGAGGAGUGUACUACUACUUCUGCUGCUGUAUCAACUGGUAUCAGUAUUAGCAAGAAUACAUUUUGUACUCCUGAUAAUAGCAAAAGUACACUUGAUAUUAGUGAACCUUUUGAAGUGUCUGUGACAAGAGAACUUAUAGAAGUUUUGUCAACGUACAGUGUUUAUAAAUGAUUGUAUGCUAUCAGGAAAUGAAGUAUUUGUUCCUAGUGCAGUAUUGUUUGGUGCAUCAGGAUUAUUCCUCAUAUUAUCAGUAGUGAUCAAUGUUGUUACAUUUAUUGUGUGCUACUACAAGAGGAAAGGGAAGGAUAAUCAAAAUUCACAAGUACAAGAACUAUCAUCACCAGUUGUUAAUCCACAGUAUGAGAACAUGCCAGCCCCACAAUCAGUACUAUCAUUGAAGGAAUGUCCUGCUUAUGGUGUUAUUGAGG